GCUCUUCUUGAGUUCCUUGAUCAUGUAUUUAAACAUAUACUUGGGAACAUUCAUUGUUGUUUCCUGAGAGAUGGUGUGAUGCAGAAAGACUUUGUGACCAAGUGAAGGUUGAUCAUUUCCUCCACCUUUGGGAAAAAUGUUUUCAUUCUGGAUCUUCAGCAGCAUUUUCUUUUCCAUGCUUAAGGUGCUGUAAGGCUUAGCAUCCUUUGAUCCGUAGAUAGUGUUGUUUACUAUUUCCUUCCAAGGGCUUGUUCUGGGGUUAGGAAUCUCUUCUCCAUCGUAUGUCCCAGAAGCAUCUCUCCUCAUAGCUUGAGCAAUCACAUGCUCAUUGAUUGUUACAGGAAUCCCCAUGACGUUUGAUCUAAUCUCAGUCCCAG
rnacentral:lncRNA from 1 species